rnacentral:misc_RNA from 1 species
CCCACACACACAUACACACUACAUUCGAUGUGAGAUCCCGAAAUCGGAAAAAAAGAAAAGAGAUGAUAAUGACAUUGUAUUUGUAUAAUAAUGAAUUGGAAAGAUAACUGCUGCUGCUCAAACUAAUUAAUUAGAUCACUAUCUUCCAAACUACCAUAAAAAUGAACAUAUGAGUAAUGACACAGCCACUGCUCCCAGCCCAACCAACUCAUUAACUUCACAAAAAAGAACCUUUCAAAUUCUAUUUUUGACUCUGAAUUUACACCAUAAACAUUCAUGCUCCUCCAGUCAUUCUCAUUGAAGGGAACCAAAGAUACCAUCCUUUGUAAACACUAGUUAUGAUAUAUAUCAUCUGUCAGGUUGAGCUGAAGCCAUAGCUGGAGUAUACUAAACCUAUAACACCUAAUUUCCGCAGCUUCCCCUCGAAAAUCACAUUGUGGUGGGCCCAGGGAGCGGGAUCAGAAGGAACGGAUACAUACACUCAAGGUACUUGGUGAAAGCCAUGCAUGCAGUAGUCACCUUUGAGCUUGUUCUGAACCAGCUGCACCAGAAGCCGUACUAGGACCAGCACCAUUUUCAACUGGAGGGGAGGUGCCCCAUUUUCCUUCUGUCUCCAAUGGUUCAAGCACAUGGACUCCUCCAUCCGUUAGCCCUAAUGCAAACUGAUUGGACUCAGUUGGAUGUGCAGCAAUGACAAGAGGGUAUACCCUCAAGCUAGGGUUGGGAGGCAAGUACGCAGUAGGAUUUAUUCUGCACCUUAAUGUGAGUGUUGAAGCAGUAAGAACACCCACACUGCCAUCUUCAAAGCUAACAUAUAUUGACUGGCUAUCACAGGAAUAUGUGGCAUGUGUGAUUGGACAAGUUGCUUCUCGAGAUAACCUCUGUUGGCAUUCUAGUUUUGGUGCUUCGUAUAUAGCUAUUUGAAAUUCGUGAACUGCCAGCAGAUGCGUCUGG